AAUGAACGUUGGCGGCGUGGAUUAGGCAUGCAAGUCGAGCGAGAACCGUAGCAAUACGGGGAAAGCGGCGCAAGGGACAGUAAUGUGUAGGUACCUACCCCUGGGUUCGGGAUAGCCGCGGGAAACUGCGGGUAAUACCGAAUAACGUCUUCGGACCAAAGGUGUGAUUCCACCUGGGGAGGGGCCUGCAUCCUAUUAGCUAGUUGGUGAGGUAACGGCUCACCAAGGCCAUGAUGGGUAGCAGGNGUGAGAGCACGACCUGCGUCACCGGGACUGAGACACUGCCCAGACACCUACGGGUGGCUGCAGUCGAGAAUCUUCGGCAAUGGGCGCAAGCCUGACCGAGCGACGCCGCGUGCGGGAUGAAGGCCUUCGGUUGUAACCGCU
rnacentral:rRNA from 1 species